rnacentral:rRNA from 1 species
CCCCGCAGACGACCGCUGGCGGCGUGCCUAAUACAUGCAAGUCGAGCGAAUCUUUGGGAGCUUGCUCCCAUUGGUUAGCGGCGGACGGGUGAGUAACACGUGGGCAACCUGCCUGUAAGACUGGGAUAACUUCGGGAAACCGGAGCUAAUACCGGAUAAUUCUUUUCCUCUCAUGAGGAAAAGCUGAAAGUCGGUUUACGCUGACACUUACAGAUGGGCCCGCGGCGCAUUAGCUAGUUGGUGAGGUAACGGCUCACCAAGGCGACGAUGCGUAGCCGACCUGAGAGGGUGAUCGGCCACACUGGGACUGAGACACGGCCCAGACUCCUACGGGAGGCAGCAGUAGGGAAUCUUCCACAAUGGACGAAAGUCUGAUGGAGCAACGCCGCGUGAGCGAUGAAGGCCUUCGGGUCGUAAAGCUCUGUUGUUAGGGAAGAACAAGUACCGGAGUAACUGCCGGUACCUUGACGGUACCUAACCAGAAAGCCACGGCUAACUACGUGCCAGCAGCCGCGGUAAUACGUAGGUGGCAAGCGUUGUCCGGAAUUAUUGGGCGUAAAGCGCGCGCAGGCGGUCCUUUAAGUCUGAUGUGAAAGCCCACGGCUCAACCGUGGAGGGUCAUUGGAAACUGGGGGACUUGAGUGCAGAAGAGGAAAGCGGAAUUCCACGUGUAGCGGUGAAAUGCGUAGAGAUGUGGAGGAACACCAGUGGCGAAGGCGGCUUUCUGGUCUGUAACUGACGCUGAGGCGCGAAAGCGUGGGGAGCAAACAGGAUUAGAUACCCUGGUAGUCCACGCCGUAAACGAUGAGUGCUAAGUGUUAGGGGGUUUCCGCCCCUUAGUGCUGCAGCUAACGCAUAAGCACUCCGCCUGG